rnacentral:rRNA from 1 species
UGGGGAAUAUUGCGCAAUGGGGGAAACCCUGACGCAGCGACGCCGCGUGCGGGAUGAAGGCCUUCGGGUUGUAAACCGCUUUUGAUUGGGAGCAAGCCUUUUGGGUGAGUGUACCUUUCGAAUAAGCGCCGGCUAACUACGUGCCAGCAGCCGCGGUAAUACGUAGGGCGCAAGCGUUAUCCGGAAUUAUUGGGCGUAAAGAGCUUGUAGGCGGUUCGUCGCGUCUGGUGUGAAAGCCCAUCGCUUAACGGUGGGUUUGUGCCGGGUACGGGCGGGCUAGAGUGCAGUAGGGGAGACUGGAAUUCCCGGUGUAACGGUGGAAUGUGUAGAUAUCGGGAAGAACACCAAUGGCGAAGGCAGGUCUCUGGGCUGUUACUGACGCUGAGAAGCGAAAGCGUGGGGAGCGAACAGG